UCCCGACCCAGGGUUCAAACGCAAGUCUCUUGUGGUGUGUCUUCUGCAUUGGCAGCAAAGAAAACCUGAAAGUAAGCUCUGAAUGUCUAUGCUAAUAACUUACCAAUAUGACUUUGUAUCUUCAAUAUCAUCAAGGUUGCAAGAUUUCAAGAAAAAUAGUUCCAAGUGUCUAAAGUGACGUCAGCAAGAUGGCAAGAUCGACUUUCCCAUGGAUAUACAGAAUAUGCACACAGGAUUAUUAUGAUGGUGCAAGAAAACAAACCUAGACAGUGUAUUAAAAAGCAGAGAUAUCGGAAGUACACAUAGCAGUCCAGCGGAUCUGUCUCUGGCUUCAACAGUGCUUGGACGGAACAGACCCAGGGAUGCUACUUGCUCCAGGCUCCGACCACUCUCCAACCUUUUUUCCAGUCACAACCUUCAGAAUCAGCCACUCAGCUGUCCGUGAUCACUAGGACCAGCCACCAUUUUUUUAAUCCUAACUCCUUAUUGCCGAUCAACCAUGAGCUCCCAGAUUCAUAAGAAUUAUUCGCCUGAGUUGGAGACUGCCCUCCACCUCCUGGUCAACCUGCAUCUGCGGGUCUCUGACACCUACCUCUUUCUUUGCUUCUAUUUCGACCAGGACGAUGUGGUUUUGGAGGAUGUGGGCCACUUUCUGGAGGUACAGAAGCAUCUCAAGUUGAGUGGGGUAAAAACCUAGGAUGCUAUGGAAGCUGCCGCUCUCAAGGAGAAGAAUCUGAACCAGGCCCUUUUGGGUCUGCAUAGACUGGGUUCUGCCUGCACAGAUCCCCACAUCUGUGACUUCUGGGAGAACCACUUCCAAAUGAGAUGAAACUCGUCAAGAAGAUGGGUGACCACCUGACCCACCUCUGCAGGCUGGCUGGUCCCCGGGCUGGGUUGGGCGAACAUCUUUUUGAAACGCUCAUCCUCAAGCAUGACUAGGAGCCUCUGGAAUCCAGUGGCCUUUGAGGAGCUCCCUUAACAUCAGGGCUGCCUGAAGCCCCUCUCUGCAUCCACUAGGCAGUUUUUUAACACUCUGGAGCCCUCUCUCAAGCCUUGGACCAAAUGGAAACAAUAAAACUUUUUUCAGCAAAAAAAGAAGAAGAAGAAGAAG